CCAGUAAGAUAAGCUAAACUAAGCUUUUGGGCCCAUACCCCAAACAUGUUGGUUAAAAUCCUUCUUUUACUA
rnacentral:tRNA from 1 species